rnacentral:rRNA from 1 species
GACGAACGCUGGCGGCGUGCUUAACACAUGCAAGUCGAACGGAAAGGCCCUGCUUGCAGGGUACUCGAGUGGCGAACGGGUGAGUAACACGUGGGUGAUCUGCCCUGCACUUCGGGAUAAGCUUGGGAAACUGGGUCUAAUACCGGAUAGGAGCCAUCUUUAGUGUGGUGGUUGGAAAGUUUUUUCGGUGUAGGAUGAGCUCGCGGCCUAUCAGCUUGUUGGUGGGGUAAUGGCCUACCAAGGCGGCGACGGGUAGCCGGCCUGAGAGGGUGUACGGCCACAUUGGGACUGAGAUACGGCCCAGACUCCUACGGGAGGCAGCAGUGGGGAAGAUUGCACAAUGGGCGCAAGCCUGAUGCAGCGACGCCGCGUGGGGGAUGAAGGCUUUCGGGUUGUAAACUCCUUUCGCUAGGGACGAAGCUUUUUGUGACGGUACCUAGAUAAGAAGCACCGGCUAACUACGUG